GUAUACACAUAAACCUGUGUCCUUGGUCCACGACUGCAGAACACUGGUGCACGACAGGUGUUGGCACGCUUUUCUCCCCUGUGAAAUUUGAAACACUUACCUAUGUAAUUAAAAAUGUACUUCUCCCAGAAUAACUUAUAUCCUUUGCGUAGUUUAGAUGUUUCGACACGUAAGUGCUGAUUUACUAUCCUUAGGACGUCGUCGUAGGACAAUUUAGGUAGGUUGGAGAGACUUGGUCCAAAGGUAUCGAUCUGCCUCCGCCAUGGUAAA